UAGACGCAUCAUUAGUGUAGGUUUAGACAUACCAUUGGUGUAGGUUUAGACAUAUCAUUAGUGUAGGUUUAGACAUACCGUUGGUGUAGGUUUAGACAUAUCAUUAGUGUAGGUUUAGACAUACCGUUGGUGUAGGUUUAGACAUAUCAUUAGUGUAGGUUUAGACAUACUGUUGGUGUAGGUUUAGACAUAUCAUUAGUGUAGGUUUAGACAUACCGUUGGUGUAGGUUUAGAC